GACGAACGCUGGCGGCGUGCCUAAUACAUGCAAGUCGAACGAGAGCGACCGGUGCUUGCACUGGUCAAUCUAGUGGCGAACGGGUGAGUAACACGUGGGUAACCUGCCCAUCAGAGGGGGAUAACAUCCGGAAACGGAUGCUAAAACCGCAUAGGUCUUCGAGCCGCAUGGCUUGAAGAGGAAAAGAGGCGCAAGCUUCUGCUGAUGGAUGGACCCGCGGUGCAUUAGCUAGUUGGUGAGGUAACGGCUCACCAAGGCCGUGAUGCAUAGCCGACCUGAGAGGGUGAUCGGCCACAUUGGGACUGAGACACGGCCCAAACUCCUACGGGAGGCAGCAGUAGGGAAUCUUCCGCAAUGGACGCAAGUCUGACGGAGCAACGCCGCGUGAGUGAAGAAGGUUUUCGGAUCGUAAAACUCUGUUGUUAGAGAAGAACAAGUGCUAGAGUAACUGUUAGCGCCUUGACGGUAUCUAACCAGAAAGCCACAGCUAACUACGUG
rnacentral:rRNA from 1 species